rnacentral:rRNA from 1 species
AUUGAACGCUGGCGGAAUGCUUUACACAUGCAAGUCGAACGGCAGCACGGGAGCUUGCUCCUGGUGGCGAGUGGCGAACGGGUGAGUAAUGCGUCGGAACGUACCGAGUAAUGGGGGAUAACGCAGCGAAAGUUGUGCUAAUACCGCAUACGCCCUGAGGGGGAAAGUGGGGGAUCGCAAGACCUCACGUUGUUCGAGCGGCCGACGUCUGAUUAGCUAGUUGGUGGGGUAAUGGCUCACCAAGGCGACGAUCAGUAGCGGGUCUGAGAGGAUGAUCCGCCACACUGGGACUGAGACACGGUCCAGACUCCUACGGGAGGCAGCAGUGGGGAAUUUUGGACAAUGGGCGCAAGCCUGAUCCAGCCAUGCCGCGUGAGUGAAGAAGGCCUCGGUUGUAAG